AAUAUUGCGCAAGGGAGGAAACUCUGACGCAGCGACGCCGCGUGAGCGAUUAAGGCCUUCGGUUCGUAAAGCUCUGUCCUUGGGGAAGAAUAUCUAAAGCUUUCACGGCAUGCGAGGAGGAAGCUCCUGCGAACUACGUCCCACUAGCCGCGGUAAUACGUAGGGGGCAAGAGUUGUCCGGACUUAUUGGGCGUAAAGGAUUCGUAGGCGGCUUUUUAAGUCAGAUGUGAAAGACCACGGCUUAACCGUGGGGUUGCAUUUGAAACUGGAAGGCUUGAGUAUCGGAGAGGGUAGUGGAAUUCCCAGUGUAGCGGUGAAAUGCGUAGAUAUUGGGAAGAACACCAGUGGCGAAGGCGACUACCUGGACGAAAACUGACGCUGAUGCACGAAAGCUAGGGGAGCAAACAG
rnacentral:rRNA from 1 species